CAGCAGCACACCAUGGUUUGCA
rnacentral:miRNA from 1 species